GAAACAGCAGCCAUACAGUUACAGGAGAGAGGACAGUUUCUUUACGAUAAGGAUCUAGGUAUUUUGGAACUAGUUUCUUAAUAUGACAAGACAAUUUUAGGUGCUUUGUUGACAACCACACUUUCUGUCCUACUUGGUAAGCAGCAGCAGGUCUGUGCUUCUUGUCAGCAUAGGGCUUUGUAUUUCUGUUGGGUUUCUUGCAGGAUAGUUAGGGCAUGUUGGAACCCUAUCUGGAGGUCACAG